GACGAACGCUGGCGGCGUGCUUAACACAUGCAAGUCGAACGGAGAGGCCCUGCUUUUGUGGGGUGCUCGAGUGGCGAACGGGUGAGUAACACGUGAGUAACCUGCCCUUGACUUUGGGAUAACUUCAGGAAACUGGGGCUAAUACCGGAUAGGAGCUCCUGCUGCAUGGUGGGGGUUGGAAAGUUUCGGCGGUUGGGGAUGGACUCGCGGCUUAUCAGCUUGUUGGCGGGGUAGUGGCUUACCAAGGCUUUGACGGGUAGCCGGCCUGAGAGGGUGACCGGCCACAUUGGGACGGAGAUACGGCCCAGACUCCUACGGGAGGCAGCAGUGGGGAAUAUUGCACAAUGGGCGGAAGCCUGAUGCAGCAACGCCGCGUGCGGGAUGACGGCCUUCGGGUUGUAAACCGCUUUCGCCUGUGACGAAGCGUGAGUGACGGUAAUGGGUAAAGAAGCACCGGCUAACUACGUG
rnacentral:rRNA from 1 species